UCAAACGAGAACGUUCUAUGCAUAUUACAAACAAACUUCAUCGUCUGCAAGCACACGCCAUGUUUUGUGGGAAUCAGAGUCUGUUGACGGCACGCCAGAAAGCAGACAAUAUGUAUGUAUAGUCAAUUGUAAUAUCACAGAUUAGUGACUGACAAAAGUCAUCUCUAUUAUUAAUUUUGUAUUGGGCGCUUUGCAAGUGUUGAGAGCUUUUGUAAUCUUGUGCCACUUCAUGAAAGAAUCAUUGAUGACAUAGACCUCUCACGAUGAACGAAAGAAAGACGAUGGAUUCAGAAUCAUGAUUGAUUCCUUCCACAAAGCCACAGUAUAAGGAAUAAACAUAGGUUCACUUUGAUGUACAACUUGCUGCUGUGGAUAUAAUUAGACUAAUGGCUGCCACUAGCCUGCCCAGCGCUUCUAUUGAUAAGGAAAUGCAUUUCACUGACUGCCGCUGAGCCAACUAUGGCAGUCAAAUGCGUGAUAAGAUAUGAGUGGCAUAAAAAUUUUCAAUAGAGUGGCUCAACUCUAUGUUCCAUAUAUAUACUGCACGUGCCUAAUGUCACGCAUAAAACAAGAUAGUUUUUAGCUAAAGUACUGUUCAAGUUUAACAACAAACACCAUGAUCUUGCAUUGUUCUCACUAUCAUUAAAUAUAAAGUUAUAAAAAUAUUGUAACAUGGGACCAAUUAGAACACUAAUGUAAACAUAAUUAGAGAAAUGAUGACUUUGUUAAUCAGUUUAAUAACAGAAGGGUACAAGCA